rnacentral:rRNA from 1 species
ACGCAAACUAUAUACCGUCACUCUCCCCGAGUACGGGCCCUGAUAAUAUUUAAAAAGCUAGUCAAGAGAAGGGGAGGCAAGUCGUUACAUGGUAAGUGGAC